CCAGACUCCUACGGGAGGCAGCAGUGGGGAAUAUUGGGCAAUGGGGGAAACCCUGACCCAGCGACGCCGCGUGAGGGAAGAAGGUUUUCGGAUUGUAAACCUCUGUCCUUGGUGACGAUAAUGACGGUAGCCAAGGAGGAAGCAUCGGCUAACUCCGUGCCAGCAGCCGCGGUAAUACGGAGGAUGCGAGCGUUAUCCGGAUUUAUUGGGUUUAAAGGGUGCGUAGGCGGAUUUUUAAGUCAGCGGUAAAAUGUCCGGGCUCAACCCGGGCCGGCCGUUGAAACUGGGGAUCUUGAGUGGGCGAGAAGUAUGCGGAAUGCGUGGUGUAGCGGUGAAAUGCAUAGAUAUCACGCAGAACUCCGAUUGCGAAGGCAGCAUACCGGCGCCCGACUGACGCUGAGGCACGAAAGCGUGGGGAUCGAACAGGAUUAGAUACCCUUGUA
rnacentral:rRNA from 1 species